CGUGUAGGCGGUAUUGUAAGUCAGAUGUAAAAGGCUACGGCUUAACCGUAGAUUGUCAUUUGAAACUGCAGUACUUGAGUGCGAGAGAGGGUAGUGGAAUUCCCAGUGUAGCGGUGAAAUGCGUAGAUAUUGGGAAGAACACCAGUAGCGAAGGCGGCUACCUGGCUCGUAACUGACGCUAAUGCGCGAAAGCGUGGGGAGCGAACAGGAUUAGAUACCCUGGUAGUCC
rnacentral:rRNA from 1 species